rnacentral:rRNA from 1 species
GACGUAGGGCGCGAGCGUUGUCCGGAUUUAUUGGGCGUAAAGAGCUCGUAGGCGGUGUGUCGCGUCGGCCGUGAAAACCAGCAGCUCAACUGUUGGCUUGCGGUUGAUACGGGUGGGCUGGAGUUCGGUAGGGGAGACUGGAAUUCCUGGUGUAGCGGUGAAAUGCGCAGAUAUCAGGAGGAACACCGGUGGCGAAGGCGGCACUCUGGGCCAGUACUGACACUGAGGAGCGAAAGCGUGGGGAGCGAACAGG